UACAGAGGGGGCAAGCGUUGUUCGGAAUUACUGGGCGUAAAGGGCGCGUAGGCGGCCUUCUAAGUCGAACGUGAAAUCCCCGGGCUCAACCCGGGAACUGCGUCCGAUACUGGAAGGCUUGAAUCCGGGAGAGGGAUGCGGAAUUCCAGGUGUAGCGGUGAAAUGCGUAGAUAUCUGGAGGAACACCGGUGGCGAAGGCGGCAAACUGGAUAGGCACUGACACUCAACAACGAAAGCGUGGGGAGCAAACAGG
rnacentral:rRNA from 1 species